GAUGAACGCUGGCGGCGUGCUUAACACAUGCAAGUCGAACGGAAAGGCCCAAGCUUGCUUGGGUACUCGAGUGGCGAACGGGUGAGUAACACGUGGGUGAUCUGCCCUGCACUUCGGGAUAAGCCUGGGAAACUGGGUCUAAUACCGGAUAGGACCACAUUUUGGAUGGUGUGGUGGAAAGUUUUUCGGUGUGGGAUGAGCUCGCGGCCUAUCAGCUUGUUGGUGGGGUAAUGGCCUACCAAGGCGUCGACGGGUAGCCGGCCUGAGAGGGUGUACGGCCACAUUGGGACUGGAAUACGGCCCAGACUCCUACGGGAGGCAGCAGUGGGGGAUAUUGCACAAUGGGCGCAAGCCUGAUGCAGCGACGCCGCGUGGGGGAUGACGGCCUUCGGGUUGUAAACUCCUUUCGCUAGGGACGAAGCGCAAGUGACGGUACCUGGAGAAGAAGCACCGGCUAACUACGUG
rnacentral:rRNA from 1 species